AACAACUCUGAGCAGUGGAUCACUCGGCUCACGGGUCGAUGAAGAACGCAGCCAGCUGCGUGAUUUGGUGUGAAUUGCAGGACACAUUGAGCACUGAUUUUUCGAACGCACAUUGCGGCCUCGGGUCUCUCCCGGGACCUCGCCUGUCUGAGGGUCGGAUAAGACUUGCAUAGGAAAUGGGUUUUUUCCCACUUUCCAAUUGACCGCAUCGGAGACUCGUAGUUUCCGCCGGUUCAAGGACAAUCAGGAUCCUCCCCGGUCGAAGGAGCGUCGCCUUGAUGCAUGCUCGUCGGUUGGAGAAGCCGGACAUAAAAGAGUUUCUCCUCGAGGACGAGAUAUAGGCUUGAUGCUUAAGAAACCAAACUUAUGGGAGAGUAUGCUUUUCUUUGUCAGGAAUGACGAAAAAAGAUAUACUUUAAAUAAACUUGUCGACCUCAGAUCAGACGAGAUGACCCGCUGAAUUUAAGCAUAUAAAUAAGCGGAGGAAAAGAAACCAACAGGGAUUCCCUGAGUAUCGGCGAGCGAAAAGGGAAGAGCCCAGCGCCAAAUCCCGCCUUCGAGAGGGGGCUGGGAAAUGUGGCGUUUAGGAGUGAGCGUGCUGGAAGUAGAUAUAGCAGCAAGUCCCCCUGACCGGGGCUGUUACCCAGAGUGGGUGCGAGGCCCAUAGUUGCUUUGUCUCUUCCGGAUGCGAUCUCCUUGGAGUCGGGUUGCUUGGGAGUGCAGCCCUAAUCGGGUGGUAAACUCCACCUAAGGCUAAAUACCACCGUGAGACCGAUAGCAAACAAGUACCGUGAGGGAAAGUUGCAAAGAACUUUGAAGAGAGAGUUCAAGAGUACGUGAAACUGCUCAGAGGCAAACGGGUGGGCCCUC